rnacentral:rRNA from 1 species
GUCACUGCUAUCAGUGUUCGACUAAGCCAUGCAAGUCAAAUGUUCUUCGUGAACAUGGCGGACUGCUCAGUAACACGUGGAUAACCUGCCCUUAGGAUUGGCAUAACACCGGGAAACUGGUGAUAAUACCGAAUAGACCAUUUAUGCUGGAAUGCUUUUUGGUUCAAAGGCUUCGGCUGCCUAAGGAUGGAUCUGCGGCCUAUCAGGUAGUAGUGGGUGUAAUGUACCUACUAGCCUACGACGGGUACGGGUUGUGAGAGUAAGAGCCCGGAGAUGGAUUCUGAGACAUGAAUCCAGGCCCUACGGGGCGCAGCAGGCGCGAAAACUUUACAAUGCGGGAAACCGCGAUAAGGGGACACUGAGUGCCAGCAUAUUAUGUUGGCUGUCCACAUGUAUAAAAACCAUGUGUUAGCAAGGGCCGGGCAAGGCCGGUGCCAGCCGCCGCGGUAACACCGGCGGCCCGAGUGGUGAUCACUUUUAUUGGGUCUAAAGGGUCCGUAGCCGGUUUGAUCAGUCCUCUGGGAAAUCUGACUGCUUAACUGUUAGGCUUCCAGGGGAUACUGUCAGACUUGGGACCGGGAGAGGUAAGAGGUACUACAGGGGUAGGAGUGAAAUCUUGUAAUCCCUGUGGGACCACCAGUGGCGAAGGCGUCUUACCAGAACGGGUCCGACGGUGAAGGACGAAAGCUGGGGGCACGAACCGGAUUAGAUACCCGGGUAGUCCCAGCCGUAAACGGUGCUCGCUAGGUGUCAGGGACGGUGCGACCGUUUCUGGUGCCGCAGGGAAGCCGUGAA